GACGGGAGGGCAGCAGCGUUGAUGGACAUGGAUGAGAGCAGAUCUAGAAGAAAGGAUCUGAGUGACAGGCUUAGGUGCGUUGUCUGCGUCCCAGGAACAGAGCAAAGCACACUGGCUCAGGCAUGAGGAAGCCACACCCCAAUCCUGCCUUUCAGGUGCCAAUGGAGAACAACCCCUUCAGCGGAACCAUGGUGCUUUACAUCUCUCUCUGAACUCUCAGAUCUCCUAAGUGGAGAUGGCUGAUUAAGGCUCUUAUCUUUCACGUUCUAAAAUCAAUUUAGUGUUGUUCGGAGCCAGCAAUGUUAAAAUAUAUUUGUAUUUUGAAACAAAGUUAACAUAGAGAAAUGAAAAAUAAAAUGUUGAGAAUUUUACAUUUAAUUGCAG
rnacentral:lncRNA from 1 species